rnacentral:rRNA from 1 species
CACACGACUCUCGGCAACGGAUAUCUCGGCUCUCGCAUCGAUGAAGAACGUAGCGAAAUGCGAUACCUGGUGUGAAUUGCAGAAUCCCGCGAACCAUCGAGUCUUUGAACGCAAGUUGCGCCCGAGGCCAUUCGGUCGAGGGCACGCCUGCCUGGGUGUCACGC